rnacentral:lncRNA from 1 species
CUAUUCUUCACUUCAAAUGCCUCAACACUUUUGAAAAUUCAGAUUAUGUGAAAGACUAAAUCAGGAGUGAAAUUCUGCUACACAAAUGUGUAACGUAAAGGUUUUCCAGGUAUGUUGUAUCUGAAGUUCCAGAAAUCACAUGGCAGUCCAAUGGCUGAUGUGUUGCAUAUAUCCAAGGUCCUGUCUCUUGGAAUUGUGUUGGAAGGACAGACCAAAAAAUUUUGAAUAAAACAAUCUGACUGUAGAACUCAGGCUGUGGCAGCCCAGCUCUGAAAAACACCACAAUUAUUGUCAUCCACAAGUCUAAUGGUAACACAUGCUCUAAAGAGAUAUGUUAUAUAAUACACACACAUAAUAAAAUGUAUA